GUUUUUCUGCUUCUCUCUUUCGCCUCUUUUUCUUAAUUUUGUAUUUAGGGGUAGGCCUUUUGUUUGAAUUUGGGUUUAGUUGAUUUUGAAGGUUUCAAGUUGGUUGCCCUUUUUUGUUUUUAAUUUUGUAUUUAGAGUUAGGUUUUUUGUUUGAAUUUGGGUUUACCUGAUUUUGAAGGUUUAGAGUUAACUGUUUCCUUUGGAUUUUUUAUGGGGGUGAGACUUAUAGAAUAGUAGGGUUUUCUUUUUGUGUUGGGAUGCCCAUCUCUCAUUCCUCCGUCUCUGGUCUUUUUUUUUUUGGGGUUUUGCUCUGCUUUUUCAGUACAUGCUUUCCACAUGUUGAUCAUCGGCAGUGUUUCUGUUUAGAGGAUUUUACCCUCGCUGCCCAUGCGUCCAUCAUCGUUGAAGAUGCCUAUUCUCAACUCUUCUGCGUCAUUCUGCUUUCUCUCAUCUAAAUCCAAAAGAUUAGAUCACAGCUUCUCAAACUCUCUCUCUCACACCGCCACCAUCAGGCCGCAGUUGCUCCAAGGAUGGGUCUCCAAAGAGGUCAUUUUGUAAAAUGCUCUCAACUUAAGGCAAGUAAUUUGAAAUUUUGGUCUGUUUUUCAAUUAUUAUGCCCAAUUUUGAAUUUAAGUCUAUGUACUUUAAAAAAAAUGAUUUGGGGUUAUUGAAAUCAGCAAUGGAAAAAUCUGCCAAAAAACACAAGAUUUUGGUAUUCAAAUUAUGUGUUCUCUCAGACUUCACAAUUGUUGGAUCUGGGUUCUCUUCAGACUUCACAAUUUGCUAGAAAACUCAAGGUUCCUCUCUCUCUCUCUCUCUCUCUCUCUCUCUCUCUCUCACUCUCUCUCUCUCUCUCUCUCUCUCUCUCUCACCUUUUUUUCAAUUCAUGAUCGUAUUUGCUUUGCAUGAAUGCUGGAUCUGUUGCUUUCGACAAAUUCUGCACUAUGUUUGCUGCACUUAUUUUUUUGUUGUUUGAUUUGAUGAAUUCUUGGGAAAAUCCAAGCUGAAUCCCGUUUUGAUUCAAAGAAAUUUUACACCCAGCAAAACUUGGUUGCCGUUCUGAUAUGAAGAAAUUUCAAACCCAUGAAAGCUCGGGUUUCUUGAUGAGUUCUCCGACAUAUUUGUUUUGGGUUCUCUUUUUUUUUUUGUUCAAAUUUUUAUAAUUUUAAUUUUUAAAAUCUGGUUUAAAGAAAUUUUUCUGAUUUUAACAUUUAGCUAUUGGAUUGCAUGAAAUCAGUAUUUAAAGAAUUCUUUUGUAUGAGAAUGCAAUGAUGGACUCUUUUUUUUGCCCAGCGAAUCUGUGAUUUAAAGUCUUAAACUUUUGAUUGAAAUUUUUUAGAGCUUUUAUCGUAUUUGUUAUCUAUGCUGAUGUUAACAGAGUGUUUUUUUUUUAAUCAAAAUUUUGUUUUAUUUUCUGUUGGGCAGCUUUUGGUGUGCUACGGAUGUUGGUUUAUUGCUCUUUGCAUACACUUAGCCUUUGAGCUACUAAAUACGUCAAGGUAUACUAACUUUUGUCUUAAGGGUACCCAAAAGCAACCGAUGAAAUCAAAAUUACCCUACAAGACAUGCAAGAUUGUGUUGCAAUGUUAAAUUAUGUGCUUAUAUAUAUUGUAUGAAAGAUUAUACUUGGAAGAUAUAACGUUGCAAAGAUCAAUGUUGUUUCUAUUGAAUCUUAGCUUUCAGAGAACUCAGAGAUGUAAAAAAUAUAUUCUUCUCAUUUACUUUUGUUAUUGAACAAUACAUUGACAUCAGUAUAUAUAGAUACAAUUCUAUUGCCAUAAUUGACCUCAACAUACAGCAGCUAAUUACACAUUUACCCUUUGUCUAACUAACUCUAACUAUACAAUUACUACUAGGCUCUUUGCACCCCCUUAAGCUGAGACUUGGGACUGGAAAAAUGCCAAGAGGAAGCUUGGAUUGCAGAAAGCAGAAUCUGUGUUUUGAUAGAGAUUUGGUGUGGAUAUCAGCUAACUGAUCUUGGCUGCAGAAAUAAAGAACUUUAAUCAAAUGGGCCAAGACUAAUUCCCAAAUGUAAUGAUAAUCCACUUCAACAUGCUUUGUCCGAGCAUGAAACACAGGAUUGGAGGCAAGAGAAAUUGCUGAAAUGUUAUCACACCAAAGAGUUGGAACUAAAGACAGAGGAAAGUUGAUAUCAGAAAACACUUUACAAAUCCAGGUGAUUUCAACUGUAGUAUGUGCUAAAGCUCGAUAUUCAGCUUAUGUGGAGGAUCUUGCGACAGUUGGUUGCUUUUUAGCAUUCCAACUGAUUAGAUUUGGACCUAGAAAGACACAGAAACCAGUAGUAGAUCUCCGAUCAUACGUACAACCUACCCAGUCAACAUCAGAGUAAGCAGUGAGGUCAAGAGAACCCUUUUUAAACCAGAGACCUUGUGUAAGUGUGCCUUUUAAAAAUCGAAGAAUUCAUUUGACAGCUUGCAUGUGUUGUUCCUUUAGGGAAUGCAUGAAUUGACAAACUUGAUUGACAACAAAGGAUAGAUCAGGUCUUGUCCACGUAAGAUACUGUAAUCCACCCACUAUAGAUCUAUACUUAGUGGGGUUAGAGAGAAAAGGACCACUGUGAUCAAGUUUAGUAGUACCAAGAGGAGUUACACAAGGCUUAG
rnacentral:lncRNA from 1 species